rnacentral:rRNA from 1 species
UACGUAGGGAGCAAGCGUUGUCCGGAAUCAUUGGGCGUAAAGCGCGCGUAGGCGGCCCUGUAAGUCCGCUGUGAAAGUCAAGGGCUCAACCCUUGGAUGCCGGUGGAUACUGCAGGGCUAGAGUCCGGAAGAGGCGAGUGGAAUUCCUGGUGUAGCGGUGAAAUGCGCAGAUAUCAGGAGGAACACCUAUAGCGAAGGCAGCUUGCUGGGACGUUACUGACGCUAAGGCGCGAAAGCGUGGGGAGCGAACAGG